rnacentral:rRNA from 1 species
CCUACGGGAGGCAGCAGUGAGGAAUAUUGGUCAAUGGGCGCGAGCCUGAACCAGCCAAGUAGCGUGCAGGAUGACUGCCCUACGUGUUGUAAACUUCUUUUAUAAAGGAAUAAAGUGAGGCACGUGUGCCUUUUUGUAUGUACUUUAUGAAUAAGGAUCGGCUAACUCCGUGCCAGCAGCCGCGGUAAUACGGAGGAUCCGAGCGUUAUCCGGAUUUAUUGGGUUUAAAGGGAGCGUAGGUGGGUUGUUAAGUCAGUUGUGAAAGUUCGGGGCUCAAACGUAAAAUUGCAAUUGAUACUGGCAGUCUUGAGUGCAGUUGAGGUAGGCGGAAUGCGUGGUGUAGCGGUGAAAUGCUUAGAUAUCACGCAGAACCCCGAUUGCGAAGGCAGCUUACUAAACUACCACUGACGUUGAGGCACGAAAGUGUGGGUAUCAAACAGGAUUAGAUACCCCUGUAGUC